rnacentral:rRNA from 1 species
GGUUAGGUACUCGCAACGAGCGCAACCCCUAUCUUUAGUUGCCAUCAGUUCGGCUGGGCACUCUAUGGAGACUGCCACCUAAAGUGGAGGAAGGUGGGGAUGACGUCAAGUCAGCAUGGCCCUUACGUCCGGGGCUACACACGUGCUACAAUGGCCGGUACAAAGGGUUGCGAAGCCGUGAGGUGGAGCGAAUCUCAAAAAGCCGGCCUCAGUUCGGAUUGGAGGCUGCAACUCGCCUCCAUGAAGUCGGAAUCGCUAGUAACCGCAGAUCAGCUACGUUGCGGUGAAUACGUUCCCGGGCCUU